rnacentral:tRNA from 1 species
GAUUAAUUAGUUUAAAGAAAAUAUUAACUUGUGGAGUUAAAGAUUUAGUUAGUCA